AUAUUUUAAAUUAUUUAGAACUUCAUUUCAGUUUUUGAGUAGUAGGAAAUAACUCAAAUCAGAUGAUAAAAUAAGCACGCUGGAAAUUAUGUUGACAGUAGUACAUAUUAGAGUUGUUUUCACAUGUAUACAUCUUACCUCUUUCUUAACUGUUGAUCAGUUGGUCAUUUACAUGGUUUAAUAGGAUUUGUGAAACUUCAAAUGAAGACACUGUUUUUUUUUUGUUAUUGUUCAGAUUCAUGGACCAAGCUUUUUAUGUGAAAGGCAUCAUGCAACAUUAAAUUCUGGAUCUGAGAUGAUCAAUCUAUUAGGCAACCAUCAGACAAAGAGAAAAGCAAAGUUAUCGGCAUGCUCUGCAAGAGAGUUUCGGUUGUAAAUUGCUUAUGCUACAUAUGUAACAUUGCGGAUUAAAAUGAAAUUGAAACUUCCUAAUUGAUGGUCAAAAAGAAUAAUGGUAAGUUAUACUUCAAUGAUGAUUGACAUGGCAUGACUUGAGUGAGUACUAUAAGAUGACUCAUAAAGUUACCAACAACUAAUUGACUGCAUCUGAUGAUUGAUGUAACUUCUAGAAUUCUGCUGGAAAUGUGUAUUGAAGUUUCUCCAUGAUUCAAAGAUGACUUGCACAAUUUUUGGAGAGUGGACUAAUUUUUGCAAACAACGAAGGUUCUUUGAAGGAUUGUCUAUCAAGUUUGGAAGCAUCUAAUAACAAUGUCAUACAUGCAUGUGAGGACUGCCCCACAAUUUGGUCUGUGAACUAGAUUAGUCACACCUAUAGGAAAUGGAGUAUUCAAACCUCUUUUUUAGACAGAAUAAUAUUUUAAGAGAGGCUAUUGUGUAUGUGGAUUGGUGGGUGUUGUUGGUUGACAUGUUUGGGUUUAGGUGCUGCUGCAGUUUCAGCGGCUGUGGUGGCUUCCUUUUGCUUUCCUUUUGGUGGUGAGAUCUCCCUAUCGGUUCUGCUAUGCCUCCAUGUCCUUUCUGUUAUAGUGCUGGCUGUGAUGCAGGAGUAUUCGUGGGUUUGCUAUUGUUUUGAUGACUAUAUAGUUGUUGUCAUGUUUGGCCUUUUGUUCUCAUUUAUACCUCAACAUCAUGUUAUUUUGUCUUUGGCUGGGUUGCUGUUUUGCUUGAAUUUUUUGGCAGCUUUUUCUUUGGGGU